GACGAACGCUGGCGGCGUGCCUAAUACAUGCAAGUUGAGCGCUGAAGGUUGGUACUUGUACCAACUGGAUGAGCAGCGAACGGGUGAGUAACGCGUGGGGAAUCUGCCUUUGAGCGGGGGACAACAUUUGGAAACGAAUGCUAAUACCGCAUAAAAACUUUAAACACAAGUUUUAAGUUUGAAAGAUGCAAUUGCAUCACUCAAAGAUGAUCCCGCGUUGUAUUAGCUAGUUGGUGAGGUAAAGGCUCACCAAGGCGAUGAUACAUAGCCGACCUGAGAGGGUGUUCGGCCACAUUGGUACUGAGACACGGCCCAAACUCCUACGGGAGGCAGCAGUAGGGAAUCUUCGGCGAUGGACGAAAGUCUGACCGAGCAACGCCGCGUGAGUGAAGAAGGUUUUCGGAUCGUAAAACUCUGUUGGUAGAGAAGAACGUUGGUGAGAGUGGAAAGCUCAUCAAGUGACGGUAACUACCCAGAAAGGGACGGCUAACUACGUG
rnacentral:rRNA from 1 species